AGAGGGAAACAACCCAGACCGCCAGCUAAGGUCCCAAAGUCAUGGUUAAGUGGGAAACGAUGUGGGAAGGCCCAGACAGCCAGGAUGUUGGCUUAGAAGCAGCCAUCAUUUAAAGAAAGCGUAAUAGCUCACUGGUCGAGUCGGCCUGCGCGGAAGAUGUAACGGGGCUAAACCAUGCACCGAAGCUGCGGCAGCGAACGUAUCACUUAAAGCGAUUCAGCGGAUGACGAUUGACGGAGCGAAGCGACGUCAAAGCGUAUACAAAGUCGAGUCGGUUUAAGGAUACGUUCGUUGGGUAGGGGAGCGUUCUGUAAGCCUGUGAAGGUGGCCUGUGAGGGUUGCUGGAGGUAUCAGAAGUGCGAAUGCUGACAUAAGUAACGAUAAAGCGGGUGAAAAGCCCGCUCGCCGGAAGACCA
rnacentral:rRNA from 1 species